ACCCGCAAUGCCGUCUUCCGCUGCACUCGUUGCAGCAACCGGCGACACUCCUGGAUCUCCAGUCCAUCGCGCCAGAUUGGCGCAGCAUAGCGGAUCGCGAACUCACAGCCCAAAGGGUUGGACUAGCCCACAUACCCAACAUUGGACAUACGGAAGCAUAUGCUUCAGCUGCGUACAACGAGGACAGAAGCAUAGCUUAAAAAACACGAAAUCUGUUGUUUGAACUAAUCCAACGGCUGUUUGAUCUAAUACCUCUGGCUGUUUGAUCUAAUACAACGAAUAAAUUCAUCGUUGCAGAUCGUAAAAGCAGAUGUUCAUCAUGCGCUCAUCGUUGUCCGACCGACGCUUCCAAGGAGGUACUGGACAGUUGUGUGAACAAACUGAAUUUUUGAAACGAAUUCGCAAUAUGAAGCUCGUCUCGUCAUACAAGGAAAUACGGAUUCAAUUUGCUCUGCGCUGAAGUCCCUAUGUUCCUCUGGAGGGUCUCAAGCUGACGGCUUGGUAGCUCUGAAACCUGGAGUAUCCACUCCGUCCUGUUUUGCGUCCUGUCCGCCCAAGGGUUUCGGAUUACCUCGUACACCCACAUUCGAACAAUACAUUCGAAUCCAGACCCCAUUGCAG